rnacentral:rRNA from 1 species
UCGGGAAUUUUGGGCAAUGGGCGCAAGCCUGACGGAGCGACGCCGCGUGAAGGAUGAAGGCCCUUACGGGUCGUAAACUUCUGUUCUGAGGGACGAAAUUUUUUGACGGUACCUCAGGAGAAAGUAUCGGCAAACCCUGUGCCAGCAGCCGCGGUAAGACAGGGGAUACAAGCGUUACUCGGAAUUACUGGGCGUAAAGCGUCUGUAGGUGCUUUGGUAAGUCUGUGGUAAAAGCUCGGGGCUCAACCCCGAGAGCGUCAUGGAAGCUACCGAAGUUGAGCAGUAGAGAGGCAUCUGGAAUGCCGCAUGUAGGAGUAAAAUCCGUAGAUAUGCGGUAGAACGCCAAAAGCGUAGGCAGGAUGCUAGCUACUUGCUGACACUGAGAGACGAAAGCGUGGGGAGCGAAGCGGAUUAGAUACCCAAGUAGUCCCUGAGCGGGCUGGCAAGGCGCAU